UCCCUGGUGGUCCAGUGGUUAGGACUUGGCAUUUUCACUGCCAUGACCUAGGUUCAAUCCCUGGUCAGGGAA